CCCUAUUAUUUUUGAUGUUAAUUUUGUGGCCUGAGUAGUAUUAGUUAUGUUCUUGAAACUUAAAGAAUUUGGCGGUAUUUUAUUCUGUUCAGAGGAAUCUGCCCUAUUAUCGAUAAUCCGCGUUGGACCUUGCUUAUUUUUUUGUUUGUAUACCGCCGUUAUAAUGAGAAUCUUUUUAGGGUUAUAAUUUUUUCUUUCCUUUAUUUUGGUUUAUUUCAGGUCAAGGUGCAGCUUUUAUUUAAGUUGGUGGUGGAUUACAUUGUUAUUAAUUUUGGAUUGUUUGUUGAAAUUUCUUUCAUGAAAUUGGAUUUGAUUGUAAUUAUUUGAAGAUUGUUUUUGUGAUUUUGGUUCUAAAGUAUGUACACAUCGCCCGUCGCUCUCGUUGUUUAAGAGGCGAGAUAAGUC
rnacentral:rRNA from 1 species